UACAGAGGGGGCAAGCGUUGUUCGGAAUUACUGGGCGUAAAGGGCGCGUAGGCGGCCGCCUAAGUCAGACGUGAAAUCCCUCGGCUCAACCGGGGAACUGCGUCUGAUACUGGGUGGCUUGAAUCCGGGAGAGGGAUGCGGAAUUCCAGGUGUAGUGGUGAAAUGCGUAGAGAUCCGGCGGAACACCGGUGGUGAAGACGGUCUCCUGGGCCGAGAGCCGACGCUGAGGCGCGAGAGCGUGGGGAGCGAACCGG
rnacentral:rRNA from 1 species